GCAAAAUGAUGUAAAUGUAUUUUGAUGUGAUCUUCCAUGAUAUUAUCAUGAGCUUUUUAACACUGAUUGCC
rnacentral:snoRNA from 1 species